AUGCACCAGCCCAGUGCUGAGGAGCAGGUCUCUGCAGGAAAUGCAGCUCCAGGCCAGCAGCCUGGGAGCCAGACACCCCUGGAGCCAGCAGAGCCAGAGCGUGGGGCCAGGCGUGCAUCCCGCAGAUGGGUGGAGGACAUGUGGGCACAGAGCGUGGCUGGACACGGACAGGGUGACAGCAGAAGCCAGGAAGGGGACAGCCAAGCUCUGGCCAGCACAGGGCUGCUGGAGGAGCCAUCCCAGAGCAAAGUGUCACAGCCACGGCCCGGGUGUGACAGCGUGAGUGGGAGCCCGCAGGGUCCCUGCACAGGGCCAGCUCUACUGCCAGCACUGGUGCCACCGAGCCCCUCUCCUCCCCUGCAGGCUGGGAGGCGGUGCCAGCCGUGCCCACUCCCGGAGGUGCAGCGGGCCCUGGCCAGGGCACGGCGGCAGCGGCUGCGGGCUCAGCACUGCCGGCAGCGCCAGCGGGAGCUCGGGGCCGGCUCUGUGCCAGCCCGGGAGCACAGCGGAGAGGUGAGCACAGGCAAAGCCCAGCACUGCGAGCUCCUAGGGCAGCCCAAGGGAGCAGGGACACCCCGGAGCUGCUCUGACCGUGUCCCUGUCCCCGCAGCGGGACACAGAGCGCUGGCAGCGGGAGGUGACCGCGCUGGGCCUGAGCCUGGAGGCAGCGCUGCGGGAGCGGGAGGCGGCCGAGUGGGAGCUGGAGGCUCUGCUGCUCAACCACCACCGGGAGAUGCAGGGCUGCCGACAGCACCUGCUGCAGGUGGGCAGGCCGGGCUGGGGACACCUCUCCCUCUCACACUGUGCCAGGGCUGUGCAGGGCUGUGCCAGACCGCCCCGGGCACCCCCAGGUGCUCCGGGACCAGCAGCGCCUGGCGGAGGAGCAGCGGGCGGGCCUGGAGCGCCGGCACCGGGAGCGGCUGCAGGAGGCGCUGCGGGAACUCGCCGAGCACAAGCAGCUCCUGAGGGACACCCCACGGGCAGGCACGGCCGGUGCCACCUCACAGACACCCUGAGGCACGGCCGGGCGUGGGGACAGCUGGCCUGGCACGACUGGGUCCCUGCACCGAGCCAGCAGCCAUGCCAGGAUACCGGGCAGCCCCAGGCACAGGAGUUAUCCCAGGCCUCUGGCUGUGCUCCCGAGGGAAAGCCUGCUCUGUGCUGGGACCCUGCCUGUGGGAGCACAGCUCAGCCUGCUGGGAGGCAGGCUUUGUUCUCCACACAGAAUAAAGUGGGUGCUCCUCAGCCGUGAGUGGUGUCA
rnacentral:lncRNA from 1 species